GUAUACGGCCAUACCACCCUGAACUUGCCCGAUCUCAUCUGAUCUUGGAAGCUAAGCAGAGUCGGGCCUGGUUAGUACUUGGAUGGGAAAUAGAUGGAAUUGACAGAGGAUGGAUAGU
rnacentral:rRNA from 1 species